CCUACGGGGGGCAGCAGUAAGGGAUAUUGGUCAAUGGGGGAAACCCUGAACCAGCAACGCCGCGUGAGGGAAGACGGUUUUCGGAUUGUAAACCUCUGUCCUCUGUGAAGAUGAUGACGGUAGCAGAGGAGGAAGCUCCGGCUAACUACGUGCCAGCAGCCGCGGUAAUACGGAGGGAGCGAGCGUGGUCCGGAUUUACUGGGUGUAAAGGGUGCGUAGGCGGCUUGGCAAGUCAGUAGUGAAAUCCAUGGGCUUAACCCAUGAACUGCUAUUGAAACUGGCGAGCUGGAGUGAAGGAGAGGAAGGCGGAAUUCCAGGUGUAGGGGUGAAAUGCGUAGAGAUCGGGAGGAACAUCAGUGGCGAAGGCGACCAACUGGCAUAUAACUGACGCUGAGGAGCGAAAGCGUGGGUAGCAAACAGGAUUAGAUACCCCAGUAGUC
rnacentral:rRNA from 1 species